rnacentral:rRNA from 1 species
CCCUUAGAUGUUCUGGGCCGCACGCGCGCUACACUGAUGCAUUCAACGAGUUUUUCCUGGUCCGAGAGGAAUGGGUAACCUUUUGAAAGUGCAUCGUGCUAGGGAUAGACUAUUGCAAUUAUUGGUCUUCAACGAGGAAUUCCUAGUAGACGUAGUUCAUCAGACUGCAUCGAUUACGUCCCUGCCCUUUGUACACACCGCCCGUCGCUACUACCGAUUGAAUGGUUUAGUGAGGACUCCUGAUUGGCGCCGCCGCCCCGGCAACGGAGCAGCGGACUGCCGAAAAGUUGUUCAAACUUGAUCAUUUAGAGGAAGUAAAAGUCGUAACA